UUUAUUGGAGAGUUUGAUCCUGGCUCAGGAUGAACGCUGGCGGCGUGCCUAAUACAUGCAAGUCGAGCGAAUGGAUUAAGAGCUUGCUCUUAUGAAGUUAGCGGCGGACGGGUGAGUAACACGUGGGUAACCUGCCCAUAAGACUGGGAUAACUCCGGGAAACCGGGGCUAAUACCGGAUAACAUUUUGAACUGCAUGGUUCGAAAUUGAAAGGCGGCUUCGGCUGUCACUUAUGGAUGGACC
rnacentral:rRNA from 1 species